AAAACAAAUCAGGCAGAUGUAGAGAAUUUAUCUGCAUAUGUGUAUCUCAGCAUAAGGUAACUGUUCAAUCAUGGCCUGAAGCACUGAUUGAGCACCUGAGGAAAGAACCGGGUCAGCAAUUCACCUGUGCGACCAGAAGGGGUGGAUCCUGGCUGCACCUCUCUUAGACCUCAUUUAAGAGCUGACUGCCACUAGGGAAGGAUCUCUUUCUGGAGAUCUCCUUGGUGGAGCCUUUUUCUGUGAACCUGCAAUCUUCUGAUGCAGUAAAACAAAUCACUGACUAAUAACAACGGACAGUGACAGCUCUCAGGUGUGGAUUUGCACUAAAACAUUAAAGAAAGAGAAGUAAUUGAUUUCUUUGCUGCUCUGGAGGUUGGGAAGAGGAGACAGAAAAGGUGGGUGGCUUUCCAUGAGGUGUAGCAAAGAAGGGUGAGAACUGCAGUAUCCAAAAUUGACUCAACGUGACAACUGAUGUUGGUUUGAGCGACUGGCAAAUGACCACAGUGAUUUAUGUGGAUUAUUAAGUGUCUUUCUUCUGUAAGUUACUGCAUUUAAAUUGCCAAGCAGAAGUGCCUAAACAGAUGUUCCCACUUCUUACCUGUUUCAGUGCAAAUUCCAACAGCUGACUUACGUGAGGUUUUGUGUGGCUAGACUUGCAGACAAGUUUUGCUCCUGCCAUGUUUCCUUCAGGAUAGUAAUAUAUAGCAGAGGGGGACACAAGCAGGUUUAUCAGAGGUGUAAGGACUUUUGCCACCACCCUGUUUGUCUGUGCCUGUCAUCCCCACGCUCAUCCUGGCUGAGUAACAUGCUCACUGCUGGCUGCAGUCUGGCAUAGCAGCUUCUUCAGCUCUGCCAAAGCUGGGCAACUGGCAGUUAGUGUACGUCCUUGCCUUGUUAACCUUAAACUGUGUCUGUAGCUGAAACCCUUCUGAUUCCUGUCCUGACUGGACAGGAAACUAAUGUGCUUCUACUUCUUUCUACAUAGAGAUUCUGUAUUUCUGCAAGUUGUAAGAACAAUAUGUGGUCUUGAUCUUACUGUCAUGCUUGCAGCCUUUCUGAAGGAAUUCCAGCUGCUGAUGUUGCCAAGAAAAUGACAAAGAUACAUGAAAAUUGCACAGAAUGUGGAGCACGGGUUUGCAACCUUGAUCACUAAUUACCAAAUAAUUCCAGAGAUUCACCCAUGAACUGACACUUAAGAUCUUUUUUAAGGCAUGUCGAAAUGGAGAAAUUCCACCAAUGUGAUGAUGGAAGAAUUACACUUCUGAUUCUUGCUAGACUUAUCAAGUUCCAAAUCUGAAAGUGCUCCAAAAUAUUCUGCUGGUGCUACUGCAAAAAUUAAGCUUGAGCCUAAGCCAAUGUGAAGGAAUCUUUCUGAUUCUGUACAUUGGCUUGUCUGGAAAAAGGCAAAUGGCCCAAUUGUAAACUUCUUGGCUACACCCAGACUUGUUAAACUUCAGCAUAAAUAUAUAUAAAAUUUUGAGGAAUUUCUUUAUUCCUACUGUUUGUUAAGGUCUAAAUAAAGCCUUAGAAGCUUGACUUACUCAUGCAAAUGUUUAAAAUGCAGCUGUUCAAACUGGAACAUGUACAUUCAUCAAAACAAGGUACAGAGCAAAUGGUAAAGAAGACACUGUGGUGGAGGGCAGGGCAUAUAUCAAUAGGAAAACAGUUAACCAAGAUCUAAUUCAUACAUAUUUACUUGAACAUGUAUUCAAAACUAAGUAUUUUCUCCCAUCUCUUUGAAUACAUAUUUGUCUUUAUAAUGAACUUUUCAGUCCUCUAAUUUCCCCAUGCUUUUAUACACAUGAAUUUUUUUUUCUACUGCUUAGAUCUGACUUCUUGUUUUUCCUCUGACUGUAUUCACAUCUGAUUUUAUCAUUUCGUUUGGCUAACUGCAAAGCAAUACUCUCCAAUCUUGCUAGUCUAUCAGCAGUGUGAAAAUACCAUGACAUGUAAACCAUCAGCAAAUGUGUGAACUACUAGAAGGCUGCUGUUUGCUGAGUUGUGAAUUACAGAGAGCAUAAGAAAAGCAGCAAAAAUGUUUUUUUUGUUGUUAAUACUGUUGGUUC